GACGUAGGGCGCGAGCCGUUGUCCGGAUUUAUUGGGCGUAAAGAGCUCGUAGGCGGCUUGUCGCGUCGCUGUGAAAACCCGCGGCUCAACCGCGGGCCUGCAUUCGAUACGGGCAGGCUAGAGUUCGGUAGGGGAGGACUGGAAAUUCCUGGUGUGCGGUGAAAUGCGCAGAUAUCAGGAGGAACACCGAUGGCGAAGGCAGGUCUCUGGGCCGAUACUGACGCUGAGGAGCGAAAGCGUGGGGAGCGAACAGG
rnacentral:rRNA from 1 species